UACGAAGGGGGCUAGCGUUGCUCGGAAUCACUGGGCGUAAAGCGCACGUAGGCGGAUUGCUAAGUCAGGGGUGAAAUCCUGGAGCUCAACUCCAGAACUGCCCUUGAUACUGGCGGUCUCGAGUCCGGGAGAGGUGAGUGGAACUGCGAGUGUAGAGGUGAAAUUCGUAGAUAUUCGCAAGAACACCAGUGGCGAAGGCGGCUCACUGGACCGGUAUUGACGCUGAUGUGCGAAAGCGUGGGGAGCAAACAGG
rnacentral:rRNA from 1 species